rnacentral:lncRNA from 1 species
UUUUAGGGCCGCACCCAUGGCUAGGGGUCGAAUUGGAUGGAAUACCCAUUUUCUGCUGGAGCCAGCCUAGUUCCUCUCCAUGUAUGGAUCCUGAACUCAGACUGUUGCUGAGGCUCAUCUGGAGGGCUCAGGAAGACUCAGAUUCCUGGGGCCCACCCCCAGGGUUCCUGACUCAGUAGGGCUGGGGUGGGGCGGGAGAACACGCACUUCUCACACACCCCCAGGGAGAACUGAUGCUGCUGGUCCUGGAGCUGCAUGGGUGCCUCCUGAAGUCCCCACAAGCCUGCUGGAAGGAAGUCAAGGCAGGGGGGGAACACGAUUCCUGUUGGCAGCGGGCGUCUGGUGCACAGCCUCUCUGAAGAGCGUGUCAGCACCAGCAGUGCUGCAUGCGGGUGGGGCAUCAUUCUCAGAAGCCUGUGGACACAGCCCAGGAGCCCUGUGGGGAGGCAGACCGCCGGCCCAGCCUCUCCUCCCUUCUCCUUCCACUGCUCCUGCUCCUCGAGCUCCCCACCCCCGCAGCAUCACUCAACUUGGCAGCUUCUCAUCCUGCAGAGGACAGCGGGGCCCAGAGAAAAAGUGGGGUCUGGGGUCUGGGUGGGUUGCUGAGGCAACAUGUCUUUUAAAGGUUAACUGAUCUAGAGAGGUGGACACCAGGCCAGCCCGUGGAAUGUCAGCCCAGCAUGUCACGCCCCUAGUCCUGUUCCCCAUUAGGUUUUGGACACCAUGCUUUGUGGCCCAUGUCCCUCCUGGCCAGGAGUGAGGUCAUCACUGGAUCUGCGGCUCCCACUGAGGACCCGCUGGGCCCUCACCAAUGAUGGGAGACCUUCUGACCUCAACCCAUCCGCCAGGCCUCAUCUGUGUCCUUUACGCACGCUUGUCGCUAGGGAAAAAAUGGCAUCUCUGCCUCUGGGCGCAGCAGCCCAUCUCAAGUUGCAAAGUGACCCUUGAGGUGUUUUCAUUCUCCAGGAACUAUUUUUCCUGGCAUAUGUGUCAUACACAAAGAAAAAAGAAUCCUUUGCUUUUUCAAACCAUCCAAUACAAAAUAAGCGAUUGUUAAGGCUCCAAACAGUCUGCUGUAAUUCCCUAGUGUGCUCUAAACACAAUAAUCCCCUUGAGGGUGUGUGUUCUUUGGCCAUCACUUCUCCCCUGGGAUUGGUUGGACUACACUUUGUGCCUGCUGUGGUCUCUCUGAUGCCAUGGGGCACCCUGAACGGGCAUCCCCACCAGACACACACCCUGAAUGGCCAUCCCCGCCAGACACACAGGCUGGGUUCCCAGGCUCUACUUUCAGCAUCAGGUGCUGCUCAUACAGCUGACAAUGUUCUCAAGUAGACACUGUUUUCUUCCUUGAUGCUGCAAACAAAGCCAGGAGCCAAUUCUGGAGGAAGAACUCAAGAUGAGCAAACCUUCAUUAAAACUGAGAUGUCUGGCAUAAGGCUGUCCAAGGUGACCGGGUCUGGGGCAGAUGCUAUGGCCCAGGGGAAUGGUCUGGUUCGUAACACAACUGUGCUUCAACUGUUGUUGUGUGAAAACCCCACAGCUCUGGCCAAAGGAAAGGAAGAAAGGAAGAGGGCACCUGGAAAGGAUCUAGGACCCUUUGGAAGGCCACUGCUGUGCCACUGACCCACUGCCACAGGUUGAAGAAGACACAGCAGGGGACCCAGAGAUGAGAGCUCGAAUCUUCUAUCUACUUUGGGAUGCGCACAUGCUGGGGUCUGCAGGGGACUGAACUUCACCAAACAUGAGUGCCCUCAACUGUGCCCCCCAGCUUUCUCACCAUUGUUGUGUCCCAGGUGGGAAGCACAGGGAGUGGGAGCACAGGGAAGGUCCCAGUGGGGAUGCAGUGAAGAGUGGCAGGAUAGGAUAACAUGGGAGCCGUCCACACACCUGGGACACACCUGGGAUGGGAAGACAUAGGCUUGGUGCCAACAACAGUAAGACUUCAAAUUCUUGGUAAUUGUCCCAGACCAAACUACCUGGGUGACAUGUGCGAGACACUACUGUUUAUAAAGAUUUUGUAGACAUCAACACUAGUCUGCUGAGAAAGUUCAGCCUGACUUUUUACCAUUCCACCACGGUGUUAAUAACUUUCCACCACAGAUGUUAAUAACUUUCAACAAAAUUCUUUUCGACCUUCAAAAGUCUGAGGCCACAUCAUUUCUGUCCUGAGACCACAGGAGAUUCCAGUUCGGUUGCUCUUCAUGCCUUCCUUCUGUUUUCUUAAUCAUCUCACCAGAUUUGGGGGAAGGCUGGUUGAAGGAGAAACAGCAGUGGACAGAGAGACGUGGGUUUGAGUCCUCCAUCUCCUUUGGCUUCUCCUUUGGGAUGGUGGAGGGUCCACAGGUAACUGACCAUCUCUAAACGCUAGUCAUCUUCUCUGGGAAACACAUAAGGCAGUGUUCAUUCUGCUGCACAGAAAUGUCACGGGAGUUUCGUAAACAGAACCAAGGCUGCAACUCCACCCAGUGUAGAGCCUACUAUGUGUCAGCCUCUUUAAGAUGCUUUGCCUGCAUUAUUUGAUUCUUACAAGAAACCCAUAUUUUAAGUGUCAUUAUUCACACUUGUCAUAUAAAAGCAUCACAAUCAAAGAGAUCAAGAAAUGUCUCCACGGUCACACACCCAGCAAGCGGGUAAUCUAGAUAGACUCCAAACUCAGGUGACUCUAGCCCCCAAAGCCCUUUUCCUAAAGCCUUGAAAUAAGACAUGGGAAAAUGCCCUGAAAAUGCUGAAGCCAAGUCAAAGGCAAGAAAUGCUACUUAAAAUGCUACAAACCAGAAAUGCUAAUGAAAAUGGCAUCUCACGUGUCCUGCUCUGUCAGGGAAUGAGCGAUUUCACUUAAGUGGGACGUUUCAGGUAUCUAAAGGUUACCCCUAAUUAAGAAUCGACUUG